AUUGAAUGCUGGCGGCAUGCCUUACACAUGCAAGUCGAACGGUAACAGGUCUUCGGAUGCUGACGAGUGGCGAACGGGUGAGUAAUACAUCGGAACGUGCCCGAUCGUGGGGAUGAGCUCGGCGAAAGCCGGAUUAAUACCGCAUACGAUCUACGGAUGAAAGCAGGGACCGCAAGGCCUUGCGCGAACGGAGCGGCCGAUGGCAGAUUAGGUAGUUGGUGGGGUAAGGCUCACCAAGCCGACGAUCUGUAGCUGGUCUGAGAGGACGACCAGCCACACUGGGACUGAGACACGGCCCAGACUCCUACGGGAGGCAGCAGUGGGGAAUUUUGGACAAUGGGCGCAAGCCUGAUCCAGCAAUGCCGCGUGCAGGAUGAAGGCCUCGGGUUGUAAACUGCUUUUUGUACGGAACGAAAAUGGCUCUGGUUAAUACCUGGGGCUCAUGACGGUACCGUAAGAAUAAGCACCGGCUAACUACGUGCCAGCAGCCGCGGUAAUACGUAGGGUGCGAGCGUUAAUCGGAAUUACUGGGCGUAAAGCGUGCGCAGGCGGUGAUGUAAGACAGUUGUG
rnacentral:rRNA from 1 species